UGGGGAAUUUUGGACAAUGGGCGAAAGCCUUAUCCAGCCAUGCCGCGUGAGUGAAGAAGGCCUUCGGGUUGUAAAGCUCUUUCAGCCGUAAAGAAAUCGCGCAGGAUAAUACUCUGCGUGGAUGACGGUACCGGAAGAAGAAGCACCGGCUAACUACGUGCCAGCAGCCGCGGUAAUACGUAGGGUGCGCGCGUUAAUCGGAAUUACUGGGCGUAAAGCGUGCGCAGGCGGUCUUGUAAGACAGUUGUGAAAGCCCCGGGCUUAACCUGGGAACUGCAAUUGUGACUGCAAGGCUAGAGUGUGUCAGAGGGGGGUGGAAUUCCACGUGUAGCAGUGAAAUGCGUAGAGAUGCGGAGGAACACCGAUGGCGAAGGCAAUCCCCAGGACCUGUACUGACGCUCAUGCACGAAAGCGUGGGGAGCAAACA
rnacentral:rRNA from 1 species